GACGAACGCUGGCGGCGUGCUUAACACAUGCAAGUCGAACGGAAAGGCCCUGCUUUUGUGGGGUGCUCGAGUGGCGAACGGGUGAGUAACACGUGAGUAACCUGCUCUUGACUUUGGGAUAACUUCAGGAAACUGGGGCUAAUACCGGAUAGGAGCUCCUGCUGCAUGGUGGGGGUUGGAAAGUUUCGGCGGUUGGGGAUGGACUCGCGGCUUAUCAGCUUGUUGGUGGGGUAGUGGCUUACCAAGGCUUUGACGGGUAGCCGGCCUGAGAGGGUGACCGGCCACAUUGGGACUGAGAUACGGCCCAGACUCCUACGGGAGGCAGCAGUGGGGAAUAUUGCACAAUGGGCGGAAGCCUGAUGCAGCAACGCCGCGUGCGGGAUGACGGCCUUCGAGUUGUAAACCGCUUUCGCCUGUGACGAAGCGUGAGUGACGGUAAUGGGUAAAGAAGCACCGGCUAACUACGUG
rnacentral:rRNA from 1 species